rnacentral:lncRNA from 1 species
AUUGGUAUCUAUUCAAGUAUUGUAAGGAAUGUAUUUGAAGGUCACGUACCUGGGGAAGUAAACUUUGAUGUAUGUAAAUUAAGUUCGAAUGUAUUAUUAUUUAGUAUUAUUCAGCUUAAAGAAAUGGUAUCGUAGAGAACCGAGUUCGGGUUUCAAGUACCUGGAUUUGGGGUCGUCACACUUUCCAUCCAUGAAUAAUCAGGAAGCACACAAUUAUAUAGUAUAUACAUACUUGGCCAAAUUAUAGGAAGCACAUAAUUGUAAAAGGUUCCAUUUUUUUUAUCUUGGGCAUGUAACAAAGGAA